UACGAACUGUGCGAACGUUAUUCGGAAUCACUGGGCUUACAGGGUGCGUAGGCGGCUUUUCAAGUCAGGUGUGAAAGCCCCCGGCUCAACCGGGGAAUUGCGCUUGAAACUGGAGAGCUCGAGUCAGCUAGAGGUGCACGGAACUUCCAGUGGAGCGGUGAAAUGUGUUGAUAUUGGAAGGAACGCCGGAGGCGAAAGCGGUGCACUGGGGCUGGUCUGACGCUGAGGCACGAAAGCCAGGGGAGCGAACGGG
rnacentral:rRNA from 1 species